rnacentral:tRNA from 1 species
GCAAGUAUAGUUUUAACCAAAACAUUGGGCUGUGACCCUAAAGAUAGAAGUUAGACCCUUCUUACCUGCC